UAAGUCUUGGCAAAUACCAGAAAGAGAAAGGCGUGCCCCCCUUUUCUGUAUUUUAUCAGCAACAAGUCCAAGGACCUGUAUUUCCUGGUUCUCUAACUUCUCACCUGCUGCAUCCUGCUCCAGCUGAUCCCUGGGCUUUGCAGAGUAUAGCUACUUGCUGGACUGCCUGCCGGGCAGUGAGCAUGCCCUGGCAUGGACAGAUGGGAGACUCCACCACAACACCUCCUGAUAGUUGCCACAGAACUGGGACCAGGGGCCCUAGACAGAAAAUGCUCAUAAACAACGGAAAAUCACCGUUUACCUAUGAGAAUCCAAGACAUCGUGGCUCACAGAAGUGCCUGGUCAUUUAAGUUUUGUUGUUGCCAGAUGCCAGGAGAUAGUCAAGGCAACUGAAACAGUCACUACCUCUGAGCAGGCUCCUCUGAUCCCUUUCAGUGGGCGGAGCCUUGGCACCAUCCCUCCGCCUGACAUUGCCUCACAGCCUCUCCGAGACACCUCAGACCCCACUGCUCCGAAGCUUCUCAGUCGUCUUUCCUCGGCUGCUCUUUGAAGUAUUCCUCAGGUGGAGCUCAGAGUUCAUAAAUAUUCGUUGGAGAAAUAAACCAGGAGAAAUCUGUUCUGUAACAUCA